GGGAACUGCUUCAGCAGGGGGUUGGACUGGAUGAUCUCCAGAGGUCCCCCACAGUUCUGUAAUUCUGUAAUUUCUUCAACUUUUCCUGGUGUUCUUACUUCCCACUGCUCUGACUGAAACCCAUCUUUAUGAAGCUGCUACCUUUAAUUCAAUUCUGAUCUUCAUUUGUAGAGUGCAACGUAGUAUGGUCUAGCAAAGUUUAUACAUCCUGCAAAUUCCCAGCUCCAUCUGCCUGCUAGGCUUUGCCUCAUGCUGUCCCCUGGAUGAGGACCGUCUUCCUCAGGACUGCUGAAAGCCGCACUGGCUAUUUAUUCUCGCCCCCACCCCUCUCAUUUUUAACGUCUUCCUCCUCCCGUUGCACUGGCGGUUGGCUGUGGAAGCACGGCAAGCCGUGUAGAAGGGGCUCCCUGCCCCCCAGCCGCGAAGUCUCUCUCGCAGCCCCACUGUCCCAAGCGGGCUGAGGGGAACGGUGGGAAGAAGUCUCGUUGGCCGCCGCCCCACAUCUGUGAGCGGACCGGGCGGCGAUGGCCGUUGGAGAGGGGGCGAGCGAUCACAGGAAGAUAGCUCUUCAACUCCAAAUGGAAAAUUCAUCAGGAAUUAGCAGGCUAUGUUGAAGAGGUUACUGAGCGGGUGAUGGAGAAUUCAAAUAUGCUCCUGUGCUGAAAGAGUGGAAGCAAUGGAUCAGACUGCAGCCCAGCAAAACAAAGUGCUGUAUUUACUACAUUUCUAAAAGUAAGGUGCUUCUGAUUUGACAGCAGAUGCUGCAGGGAUGUAGAGCUUAAGGAAUUUUUAUGUUUUGCCAAAAUAUGAGGGAAACUCAGAGAGGGCAUCAGAACUGGGAUGCCACUGUUUUCUUUCUUCAGUAAUGCCUUUCUUCACAUGCAUCCUUUGUAUGAUAUGCUGUUUCUAAACAGUAAAAACACUAAAAAUAAAAAGUCAGCAAGGUGGAUUGGCUGAUCAGGUGCAUUUAUCUUUGGAAGAGAUGGUCCUGGUCAUCAAGCUUCUGUUCUUUACCUGCCUGUGGCCGACAGCAGUGCUACACAGCUCUCAAGGUCAGCAUCACCAUCUUCACCAUCGGCAACAAUUCUCAUUCUUAAGAAAACAUAACAGGUAAGCAACACGUUCUGUCUGUCUAUGUUCAUCUGAUAAACUUCAUGCUGUCAGCAGUCUUUCAACGCAUCCUGUCUGUUUAUUGCCCUGCUUUGCCAGUUUCUGAAUUUAUACUAUACAUAGUGCAUGGAUAGGGUGUUCCCAAAAGAGAAAUGUUAAACUAUUAAUUAUCAGAGGUUUUUCAUAGCUAAACAUUUUGUACUGUGAUUUCCUGUACAUUUCAUAUGAUUGUGCACAUGCCCACACACAGCUCUUUGAAAUUGUGUGAUAUCAGAAACUGCUGCGAUACUCUGAGUGUUUUAACUCUCUCACUCCCGUUACAAGAAGUAGAAAUGCCUUACAAAGUUUGAUGCCAAUGUUAUAAAAUGACUUCCAUUAACUAAACAGCAGAGUAACUACACUAUCAAGACACUGAAGACAAUCGUAUAGUCAUAAAUUAUGUGAAUUAUACUUCAUGUUUAUUGAUGACACAAUGUGUUCCCUUUCCAGAAUAUGCCUAUGCUUUUAGGUACAAUCCUCCUUUUGGAAAGGAGAUUGUAUCCAUUCUUAGUCUUUCCAAUCAAGUAGGUGGUUUAAAAGAAAUAAUGAUACAAACCUUUCCACAUUUAAUUUUCUGUGCAAAGUGUUUGUGCUUUUUCCUACAACCACAAUUUCAUAUUUUAGAUGUGGGGCCUCUCAUAGCAUGUAAACAGACCACUGAGUGCCAGUGAUAAUCCAAGCAAAGUCUGUCUUAAUAGAGAUGUUGGAGACACUGUAAUAAGUAGCCCUAUUUAAGGAAGGAGAAAUGAUGGAAUUGUUGCAUUUUUUCAUGUCCUUGACCCCCUAUUAAAAUAGGGGAACUGGUAGUUUGUUCAUAAUAAUCGCCUAUUGAGGAAGAGUAAGUUGGACUCAUCUAGUGUGGGUAAGCUAUUUUUAAAAUUACAUGCUUUAUAACAGGCAUACAGCUGUUUACAUUCUGUAUCGCUCUGCAUGUGAUAAUCCAGCAGUGAUAUACCUCUGAGUCCUUACAGAUCUUGUUAAACUCAUGGUUAAGCAAUAUAGGGCAAGAGAACAUAUCCCAGUGACACAAUGCAAGUGCCUGCAGAUGCUAUAUAGCUCGGUAUUUCUGGAUUCUGGAUUUUCUCAAGGUCAUAGGUUCAAGUUUGGUCUAAGCCAAGUGCUCAGGAACAGAACGCCUACUGGCAGACUAUUUCAAGCACUAGUAGUUUUGGAGUGAAUGUGAGUGUGCAGUUAUUUGCUGUAAUAAAACAAAAUAAAGAGAACUAGACCUAAUGUCAAGAUGAAGUCUAAUCUGGGACUUUAUUAGUCUCAGGAAGCAGUUAAGAAUCAAAUUGAAACAGAAUAAAAUAUCUUAUUGUCGCUGUAGGAGUAAAGGUCUGUUUUAAGCUUACUGAUACAUUUUUGUCAGUGGUAAAAGGGGAACAUAUGCUACUGUUAUUUGCAUGUAUCCUGUUCUGCAGUAGCUGAGAGGAGCUGCUUCAUCUCUGGCAUACUAAUUUUGAAAGGAGGAGAGAAGCCUGAUGGGAGGAGACAGCAAAUGUGACAUCCUCUGGUCACUGCUGACCUCUUGCCACAAGACAACAGGUCAAGAACAGGAACAAUAUUAGCAUGUUAUCCCCUCCAUCUUCACAGACCUUUACUAGUACCUACAAAUGGAUUCACAGGACAGUCCUGUGAGACAAGCAGAAGAAGGACGUUACCAGAAUAGAAGCAACGAGGAAUGCCAGCACCACAUUCUAAGAUAAUGCUGACUGGGGUAUCAGUUUUCUUUAUGUGAGGCAAAGGUUUGGCCUUCUGUACCUUUUGCUAGGCCCUUGUGAUUUAAAAUUUGGAAUUGGGAAGAAGACUGCAGGAUCUGAGCCAUAGAAGAUGCCAGAGCUUAACAGCUGCAAAUCAGCUUUUCUGUGGAAUGGAUCCAAACACAUUUAAUUUUUUUUUUGUUUGAUUCUUUCUCUGAUUCUGAUUCUAAAGACAGCAUUAUCUUCCAGUACGUUGUAACACGGUCUGACUCUCUGCUGGCCUCUUUUUCUUUCUGGGGAAAAACCUUUCAACCAGCACCAGAGUUAUUAGGGACACAGCUGACAGAUGGCCUUGGUUAAAUGGGUGGCCUUUUAGAAAGAAUCCCAUGUGAAAAUGUUACUUAACCUACAAGUUCCACUGGUUUAAUAGAGUAACCCAAUUCUCCCUCCAAAGCUAUUUGUCUGCAUUCUCUUGUAAAGAAGAUUUUAAAGCAUUAACCAAAAGUACACGAGAAAGAGAUUAUUUUCAUGGUCCAUUUCCUAAAGCAAAGAACAAAAUAUUUGACUGUCCAAAUAUUAGGCUUUUUGACCGUACGUAUUGCUGAUGUCACUGAACACUUGGAAAUGCAGAGAGGAAAGGAGAGGGAGGGAGAGAGAGAGCCAGAGAGAGAAAACUGUGUAAUUUUAAUGCCUACAAUUAUCUGAGUUUCAAAAUGUGACAAAUGAGUUAAAAGUUUCUGAGGUUACAUUGCUAUGUAAUUCCACAAACUCUCCUGGGAAUAGGUUCUGUAAUUCUACCUUGCAGUUGGUAGUAGCUGGAGUACCUCAGGAACAUAUCAUUGUGAAGAACUUUCUGACCAUUAAAUCUAGGGCCCUUCAUGAUAUUCUUUUCACAAAAGAGUCCUUCCAAGUACUCUUUUCAUAAACUUACCU